GAUGAACGCUGGCGGCGUGCCUAAUACAUGCAAGUCGAGCGAACAGACGAGGAGCUUGCUCCUCUGACGUUAGCGGCGGACGGGUGAGUAACACGUGGAUAACCUACCUAUAAGACUGGGAUAACUUCGGGAAACCGGAGCUAAUACCGGAUAAUAUAUUGAACCGCAUGGUUCAAUAGUGAAAGACGGUUUUGCUGUCACUUAUAGAUGGAUCCGCGCCGCAUUAGCUAGUUGGUAAGGUAACGGCUUACCAAGGCAACGAUGCGUAGCCGACCUGAGAGGGAGACCUGCCACGCUGGAACUGAGACACGGUCCAGACUCCUACGGGAGGCAGCAGUAGGGAAUCUUCCGCAAUGGGCGAAAGCCUGACGGAGCAACGCCGCGUGAGUGAUGAAGGUCUUCGGAUCGUAAAACUCUGUUAUUAGGGAAGAACAAAUGUGUAAGUAACUAUGCACGUCUUGACGGUACCUAAUCAGAAAGCCACGGCUAACUACGUG
rnacentral:rRNA from 1 species